rnacentral:tRNA from 1 species
AGUCAUGUAGCUCAGUAGGUAGAGCACUCGACCGAUAAUCGAGAUGUCGUAGGUUCGAUCCCUACCGUGACUACCA